CUCCUUGGGGAGAAAGGUGUGUGUGUGGGGGGGAAAUAUAAUAAACUUAAAUAUGCAUUUAUAGCCAUGCAGUCUCAAAACAGGUUAGCUACUAUUACCGUUAGUAAGAUAAUACUAUUUCUUUGACUUAAGCAGUACGGAUACAACUUUGCCCUAUACCAUCACUCAUAGGAGUUAAGUCGUCAGAAAACAAAAGAUUGGGAAGAAAAGUUUUAAAAGGUUUCUGCCUGCAGCUUUUUCCAGUCUCAUGAUCUAACGUGACAGCUCGUCGGUGAUGUCUAUUCCACUUCAAAGAGGCAGGUAGCCUAGGGCCAGCCAGCUGUAUUGUGGAUUCCGUGGAUUUGGCUUGCUGUUCCUGCUGGGUGUCAUCUGUCUUCUUAGUCUUGCAGUGGAUAAUUUUUGUGCUCCCCCUAACAUCAUCUGCCUGAGCAGUUCCUGCCUGGCAGGCCUGUCUGUCCAGGUUGAGCAUCAAAUAUGGUAACCGUAUGACUAAUCUGACAAGGCAACUACUCCAAAGAGUGCAGCCCCAGGCCUGCUCUGACCAGGAUCAUCAUCACAGCCCACAAACUUCCAACAAUCAUGACCACGGUCUCAGUCUUCCAUCACAGAUGCUGCCCAUGGACUUAUUCUGCUCACGCAAUGUAUGUCUCACCCCCCCAACCCCUCUCUUAAAGGCUGUCAUUCCAAAUCUUUGUGUGUCGUGAGAAGUCUGCCUCAACAGGUUUGGGUUUCCCUGCCUGUUGCCAGCAUUUGACUCAAACACCGCCACUUGGAUGAAACAAUCCUUUAGUGGAUUAUCAUUGCUAGACAGCCUGUGGGAAAAAUGACAGGACUCGGCAUGUUAAUCCGAAGAUUUUACAAUCCAGAAAGCUGCUAACACUAAUCAUAAAUGGCAAGAUGAUCCCUAAAAGAGAAAGCGGGUUCCCUAGCAAGGCAAAAGUGACACAAUUUGUUUAGUAAAUCUUCCCCAAAACUCUAUAUGAUGACUACAUAUGUUGAUUUUCAUGCUCAGAGCCAUAAAUAUUCCCAGAGCUUUA